AACGCGAAGAACCUUACCUGGGCUCGAAAUGUAGAGGACGAUAUCAGAGAUGAUAUUUCCCGAAAGGGUCUCUAUAUAGGUGCUGCAUGGCUGUCGUCAGCUCGUGCCGUGAGGUGUUUGGUUAAGUCCAGCAACGAGCGCAACCCUUAUCGUUAGUUGCCAACAUGUAAUGGUGGGAACUCUAACGAGACUGCCUGGGUUAACCAGGAGGAAGGUGAGGAUGACGUCAAGUCCGCAUGGCCUUUAUGUCCAGGGCUACACACGUGCUACAAUGGUUGGUACAGAAGGCUGCGAAACCGUAAGGUGAAGCAAAUCCUAUAAAACCAAUCUCAGUUCAGAUUGUAGUCUGCAACUCGACUACAUGAAGUUGGAAUUGCUAGUAAUGGCGAGUCAGCAACAUCGCCGUGAAUACGUUCCCGGGCCUUGUACACACCGCUCGCGA
rnacentral:rRNA from 1 species